CAAUAGCGUAUAUUAAUGUUGUUGCAGUUAAAAAGCUCGUAGUUGGAUAUCUGGCUCUUGUGCGGACGGCCCCUGUUCUGCAGGUUGUGCUGAAAGUACUGGCCUUUCUUCCGGUUGGUAGCGGGGCGCUUAACGGCGUUUCCGUUUACGAUCCGGAUCGUUUACUUUGAAGAAAUCAGCGUGUUCAAAGCAGGCUUAUGCCGUGAAUGUUGCAGCAUGGAAUAAUGACAUAGGACUAUGCGUCUAGUUGUUGGUUCUUGGGCGAUAGUAAUGAUUGAUAGGGACAGUUGGGGGUGCUGCUAUUCCGCGGCCAGAGGUGAAAUUCUCAGAUUCCCGGAAGAGCAACUUAUGCGAAANCANNNACCAAGGAUGUCUUCUUNAA
rnacentral:rRNA from 1 species